AUGUACAUCUGGCUUAUUCAGCACCCAUAAAAUUCAAUGGACCACCAUCCAGACAAAAGGAUAAAAACAGAACACAUCAAGAUAAUGAAUUUUCUUCAAACUAUUCAGCUUUCUAAUUGGGAUCCCUGCAUCCAGCCAUUUUAUACAAUUGCUGGAGCAGUACAGAAGGUGGAAAACCUGGAGGAUGGGUGGGGAACCACAGCCAUUGUCACGGGCAGUGUGCUACAUGACUCCAAGAGGGACCAGUGUGGCCACCACUAGCAUACAUAGAGCACAUUUAUGCAAAUUAGAGAAAGGUGCUCCCUCUCGACAGAUGGAUUGGAAAAAGACACCUCUCUGGAUUAACAGAUCGGUAAAGCACUCUCUCUUGUGGGACAUAUUAAGAAUGAAGACCCUCUGUGGGCUUACGUAGCUCUGUGGGCUCAUGGCAUAGCAAACACAAUACAGGCUUAAUUCCAGGCCUUACUGCCUACUCUUACCCACCAGGUACCUUUGUGCAAUGUAAAUUGUGCAAU